rnacentral:rRNA from 1 species
AUUGAACGCUGGCGGCAGGCCUAACACAUGCAAGUCGAGCGAGCGGCGGACGGGUGAGUAAUGUCUGGGAAACUGCCUGAUGGAGGGGGAUAACUACUGGAACCGGUAGCUAAUACCGCAUACCAUCAGAUGUGCCCAGAUGGGAUUAGCUAGUAGGUGGGGUAACGGCUCUCCUAGGCGACGAUCCCUAGCUUGUCUGAGAGGAUGAACAGCUACAUGUGAACUGAGACACGGUCCAGACUCCUGCGUGGGGCAGCAGUGGGGAAUAUUGCACAAAGGGCGCAAGCCUGAUGCAGCCAUGCCGCGUGUGUGAAGAAGGCCUUCGGGUUGUAAAGCACUUUCAGCGGGGAUGCGUUACCCGCAGAAGAAGCACCGGCUAACUCCGUGCCAACAGCCGCGGUAAUUC